UUUGAUCCUGGCUCAGGACGAACGCUGGCGGCGUGCCUAACACAUGCAAGUCGAGCGGGAACCUGAGGAGGGGUAACCCUCUUCAGGGGAGAGCGGCGAACGGGUGAGUAACACGUGGGCAACCUGCCCCGGACACCGGGAUAACCCAGGGAAACCUGAGCUAAUACCGGAUACUCCGGCGCGAUCGCAUGGUCGUGCCGGGAAAGCUCCGACGGUCCGGGAUGGGCCCGCGGCCUAUCAGCUUGUUGGUGGGGUAACGGCCUACCAAGGCUACGACGGGUAGCUGGUCUGAGAGGACGGCCAGCCACACUGGGACUGAGACACGGCCCAGACUCCUACGGGAGGCAGCAGUGGGGAAUAUUGCGCUAAUGCGCGAAAGCGUGACGCAGCGACGCCGCGUGGGGGAUGAAGGCCCUCGGGUCGUAAACCCCUUUCGCCAGGGACGAAGGGAAACUGACGGUACCUGGAGAAGAAGUCCCGGCUAACUACGUGCCAGCAGCCGCGGUAACACGUAGGGGACGAGCGUUGUCCGGAUUCACUGGGCGUAAAGCGCGCGUAGGCGGCUCGGAAAGUCGGGUGUGAAAGCCCGGGGCUCAACCCCGGGACUGCAUCCGAUACUUCCGGGCUGGAGGCAGGUAGGGGAGAUCGGAAUUCCUGGUGUAGCGGUGAAAUGCGCAGAUAUCAGGAGGAACACCGGUGGCGAAGGCGGAUCUCUGGGCCUUGCCUGACGCUGAGGCGCGAAAGCUAGGGGAGCGAACAGGAUUAGAUACCCUGGUAGUCCUAGCCGUAACGUUGGGUGCUAGGUGUGGGCGGACAUCGACCCCGUCCGUGCCGAAGCUAACGCAUUAAGCACCCCGCCUGGGGAGUACGGCCGCAGCUAAACUCAAGGAAUUGACGGGGCCCGCACAGCGCGAGCAUGCGCUUAUCGAUGCACGCGAGACUUACUGGGCUUGAACAUGCAGGGCAAA
rnacentral:rRNA from 1 species